AUGAUUCUAAGAUCUAUAAUUAAGUAUGAAUCACCAUAAACAAGAUUUAAAGCUUACCUAAGCAUCGUGAUUCAAGUUUUGCGUGUUUUGCGUCCUUUCCGAUUCUUCGAAGUCUUGGAUUCUUCGAUCUUCAAUACUCCGCUCCGAACUUCUUCAGGACUCCGACUCGACCCACGAAACUUGCCAACACAUAGGACCUAACAAUCUCCCCCUUCGGCAAUUUCGUGACAAAACACACUCAAAACACAAACAUUACAUUUAAAGGAAAGACGAAGUUCAAUUGUCAUCACCAAAACAAUAAACCUAUCACAUGUAAUCCGAAUACAAAUUAAAACUCAAAAUACAUUCAAAACUCCUAAAACAGAGUCUAUGACUUAGACGCAACUAGGAGUCUUGAAGUCUUGAAAUCCUGCAAAACAUUCCACAAUAAUAUAAAGUUUUACAUUCAAUUGAUUCUUUUACAAUUCUCCCCCUUUGUUCAUCACUUCUCCCUUACAUUCAAUUGAUUCUUUUACCAUUCUCCCCCUUUGUUCAUCACUUCUCCCCCUUUGUUCGUGAACCUGUUCAUCACUUCUCCCCUUU
rnacentral:lncRNA from 1 species